GCUCAGGACGAACGCUGGCGGCGUGCUUAACACAUGCAAGUCGAACGAUGAUGCCCAGCUUGCUGGGUGGAUUAGUGGCGAACGGGUGAGUAACACGUGAGUAACCUGCCCCUGACUCUGGGAUAAGCGUUGGAAACGACGUCUAAUACUGGAUAUGACUGCCGGCCGCAUGGUCUGGUGGUGGAAAGAUUUUUUGGUUGGGGAUGGACUCGCGGCCUAUCAGCUUGUUGGUGAGGUAAUGGCUCACCAAGGCGACGACGGGUAGCCGGCCUGAGAGGGUGACCGGCCACACUGGGACUGAGACACGGCCCAGACUCCUACGGGAGGCAGCAGUGGGGAAUAUUGCACAAUGGGCGAAAGCCUGAUGCAGCAACGCCGCGUGAGGGAUGACGGCCUUCGGGUUGUAAACCUCUUUUAGUAGGGAAGAAGCGUAAGUGACGGUACCUGCAGAAAAAGCACCGGCUAACUACGUGCCAGCAGCCGCGGUAAUACGUAGGGUGCAGAGCGUUGUCCGGAAUUAUUGGGCGUAAAGAGCUCGUAGGCGGUUUGUCGCGUCUGCUGUGAAAUCCCGAGGCUCAACCUCGGGCUUGCAGUGGGUACGGGCAGACUAGAGUGCGGUAGGGGAGAUUGGAAUUCCUGGUGUAGCGGUGGAAUGCGCAGAUAUCAGGAGGAACACCGAUGGCGAAGGCAGAUCUCUGGGCCGUAACUGACGCUGAGGAGCGAAAAGCGUGGGGAGCGAACAGGAUUAGAUACCCUGGUAGUCCACGCCGUAAACGUUGGGCGCUAGAUGUAGGGACCUUUCCACGGUUUCUGUGUCGUAGCUAACGCAUUAAGCGCCCCGCCUGGGGAGUACGGCCGCAAGGCUAAAACUCAAAGGAAUUGACGGGGGCCCGCACAAGCGGCGGAGCAUGCGGAUUAAUUCGAUGCAACGCGAAGAACCUUACCAAGGCUUGACAUACACCGGAAACGGCCAGAGAUGGUUGCCCCCUUGUGGUCGGUGUACAGGUGGUGCAUGGUUGUCGUCAGCUCGUGUCGUGAGAUGUUGGGUUAAGUCCCGCAACGAGCGCAACCCUCGUUCUAUGUUGCCAGCGCGUUAUGGCGGGGACUCAUAGGAGACUGCCGGGGUCAACUCGGAGGAAGGUGGGGAUGACGUCAAAUCAUCAUGCCCCUUAUGUCUUGGGCUUCACGCAUGCUACAAUGGCCGGUACAAAGGGCUGCGAUACCGUAAGGUGGAGCGAAUCCCAAAAAGCCGGUCUCAGUUCGGAUUGAGGUCUGCAACUCGACCUCAUGAAGUCGGAGUCGCUAGUAAUCGCAGAUCAGCAACGCUGCGGUGAAUACGUUCCCGGGCCUUGUACACACCGCCCGUCAAGUCAUGAAAGUCG
rnacentral:rRNA from 1 species